rnacentral:lncRNA from 1 species
ACCAUACGCUUCAAGGCGUUCCAAAUAUCCGCUUGGAAAUACUACAAAAACAGUGUUUCAAAACUGCUCUAUCAAAAGGAAGGAUCCACACUGUGAGUUGAAUUCACACAUCACAAAGAAGUCUCUGAGAAUUCUUCUGUCUGGGUUUAUAGGAAGAAAUCCCGUUUCCAACGAAGGCCUCAAAGAGGUCCAAAUAUCCACUUGCAGAUUCUACAGAAACAAUGUUUCCAAACUGCUCUAUCAAGAGGAAUGUUGCACUCGGUGAGUUGAAUGCACACAUCACAAAGUAGUUUCUGAGAUUGCUUCUGUCUAGGUUUUAGGUGAAGUUAUUUCCUUUUCUACUGUGGGCUUCAAUGCGCUCUAAAUAUACACAUGCAAAUAUUACAAAAAGAGUGUUUCAAAACUGCUCUAUCAAAAGAAAAGUUUUACUCUAUGAGUUGAACGCACACAUCACAAAGCAGAUUCUGAGAAUUAUUCUGUCUAGUUUUUAUAGGAAGAUGUUUCUUUUUCUGCCGUAGGCUCAAUGCGCUAUAAAUAUCCCCUUGGAAAUCCUACAAAAACAGUGUUUCCAAACUGCUCUGUGAAAAGGGAGGUUUCACUCUUUGAAUUGAAUGCACACAUCACAAAGGAGUUUCUGAGAAUUCUUCAAUCUAGAGUUACAUGAAGAAAUCCCGUUUCCAAAGAAGGCCUCCAAUAGGUCCAAAUAUCCACUUGCAGCUACUACAAGAAGGGUGUUUCAGAAACGCUCUAUCAAAAGAAACGUUACACUCUGUGAGUUGAACGCACACGUCACUAAGCACUUUCUGAGAACGAUUCUAUCUACUUUUUACAUGAAGAUGUUUCCUUUUCUAGCAGAGACUUCAAAGUGCUCUAAAUAUCCACUUGGGAAUUCUACAAAAACGGUGUCUCAAAACUGCUCUAUCAAAGGGAAUGUUCCAUUCUGUGAGUCGAAUGCACACAUCCGAUGAAGUUACUGAGAAUUCUUCUCUGUAGGUUUAGAUGGAGAAAUCCCGUUUCCAACGAAGGCCUCUAGGAGGUCCAAUUAUCCACUUGCAGAUUCUACAGAAAGAGUGUUUCAAAACUGCUCUAUCAAGAGAAAUGGUCCACCGUGUGUGUGGAAUGCAGCCAUCACACAUUAGUUUCUGAGAUUGCUUCUGUCUUGGUUUUAUGGGGAGAUAUUUCCAUUUCUAGCAUAGGCUUCAAGGCGCUCUAAAUAUCCGCUUGGAAAUACUACAAAAACAGUGUUUCAAAACUGCUGUAUCCAAAGGAAGGUGCCACUCGCUGAGUUGAAUGCACACAUCACAAAGAAGUUUCUGAGAAUUCUUCUGUCUAGAUUUAUACGAAGAAAUCCCGUUUCCAACGAAGGCCUCAAAGAAGUCCAAAUAUCCCAUUGCAAAUUCUACAAAAGGAGUGUUUCCCAACUGCUCUGUCAAGAGGAAUGUUGCACUCUGUGACUUGAAUGCAAACAUCACAUAGCAGUGUUUGAGAAUUCUUCUAUCUAGAGUAACAUGAAGAAAUCCCGUUUCCAACGAAGGCCUCAAUUGGUCUAUAGAUCCACGUGCUUCUUCUACGAAAAGAGGGUUCCAGAAAUGUUCUAUCAAAAGAAACGUUAAACUCUGUGAGUUGAACGCACACAUCACAAGCAGUUUCUGAGAACGAUUCUAUCGAGUUUUUACA